GGGUUGUGAGGUUAAGCGACUAAGCGUACACGGUGGAUGCCCUGGCAGUCAGAGGCGAUGAAGGACGUGCUAAUCUGCGAUAAGCGUCGGUAAGGUGAUAUGAACCGUUAUAACCGGCGAUUUCCGAAUGGGGAAACCCAGUGUGAUUCGUCACACUAUCAUUAACUGAAUACAUAGGUUAAUGAGGCGAACCGGGGGAACUGAAACAUCUAAGUACCCCGAGGAAAAGAAAUCAACCGAGAUUCCCCCAGUAGCGGCGAGCGAACGGGGAGCAGCCCAGAGCCUGAAUCAGUGUGUGUGUUAGUGGAAGCGUCUGGAAA
rnacentral:rRNA from 1 species